GAUGAACGCUGGCGGCGUGCCUAAUACAUGCAAGUCGAGCGAAUUGACAGAGGUGCUUGCACCUCUCGAUUUUAGCGGCGGACGGGUGAGUAACACGUGGGUAACCUACCUAUAAGACUGGGAUAACUUCGGGAGACCGGAGCUAAUACCGGAUAAUAUUUAGCUUCGCAUGAAGCAAUAGUGAAAGACGGUUCUGCUGUCACUUAUAGAUGGACCUGCGGUGUAUUAGCUAGUUGGUGAGGUAACGGCUCACCAAGGCAACGAUACAUAGCCGACCUGAGAGGGUGAUCGGCCACACUGGGACUGAGACACGGCCCAGACUCCUACGGGAGGCAGCAGUAGGGAAUCUUCCGCAAUGGACGAAAGUCUGACGGAGCAACGCCGCGUGAAGGAUGAAAUCCCUCGGGAUGUAAACUUCGCAAGUACAGGAAGAAUAAGCGAGCGCUAAUACCGUUCGUGAUGACGGUACUGUUUGUAAGCUCCGGCUAACUCCGUGCCAGCCGCCGCGGUAAUAC
rnacentral:rRNA from 1 species